rnacentral:lncRNA from 1 species
GUCAAAAUGUUUAAUAAAAUGUUUAAUACACACUUAGCCGAGUGUCUAUGCAAGCUAAUAGACCAUAGACAGCAUAUGCAUUGGAAAAGUAGUUUGAUGCAAAAACAUAGUUGAUGGAGACUAAUUCUCUGGGAAGGAAAUGGAAACUUUUUUGUGGUUUAGUGUCUCUGCAUUGUACUGUAACCUCUAGUUUGCUUAACACCUUUAUGCACGACAAACACAAUGGCAAAAGUCAUUUUCUUCCUCUGUGUAUUUUCUUAUUGGAUUCUGCCAAUUAUCUCAUCCAAUGAUGCAUCAGUGCGAGGGUCUUCUGAUCUGUUAAGGGUUCAGAAAGGAGAAAGCAUCAGUCUGAACUGCAGUAUGAGAAACAAAUAUGAAGUCGCCUGGUAUCGCCUGAGAUCUGAACAACUGGAUCUACUGAUUGCAGCAGAGAAGCACGACACAGGAAGAAAACUUCUGACCAACUACAAAAAAAACAGUACUUUAGUGAAAAUGACUGCAGACACAUGGGUCACCAGAGUCUCUCUAGAGAUUUCUAGAGUAACAGAGUCAGAUUCAGGUCUUUAUUUCUGUGGAACAAAGUCUGACGCUCCAGAGAUGUUCUUCGACAAACCCAUCCGACUAGAAAUCGAGGGUCUUAUUGUAGUACAAGAGACAAAAGAAGUUGACGUCAAAGAUGAGGUGACGGUGACGGAGCGUGUGUUGAUGUUCGGUGGCAUUGCUCUGGCUGCGUUUGUGUUUUUUCUGGCUACAGUCAUUGCAGGAGGAAUCCUUCACUAUCGCGGUUGGCAGAAAGGAUGGAGUGCAGCCAAACAUGCAUCUCGGAUUCAUCACAGAUCAGCUAAAUAACUUCUACUUAUGCUUUAUUCUAACUCAAUAUAUCCCUGAGCUUUGCAUUGC